rnacentral:misc_RNA from 1 species
AGUCAAACACAAAUUGCCAAGUUUGAAACUUCGAAACUUUGAGUCAACUAGACUACGAUUCAGUAACAGUACAUACAAUAAUUUAUUUUAACUACAAUUGAAAAAUUUAUUCAAUCGCUACUUUCACUUUAGUGUUUACAAGCAAGCAUGGCAAGUAAAGCUCCAGCCGUCGGCAUCGACCUGGGAACGACGUUUUCCUGUGUCGGUGUAUUUCAACAUGGAAAAGUGGAAAUCAUCGCCAACGACCAAGGAAACAGAACGACGCCCAGUUACGUUGCGUUCACAGACACCGAGAGACUGAUAGGAGAUGCGGCUAAAAACCAGGUAGCCAUGAACGCCAACAAUACGAUCUUUGACGCUAAGAGGCUGAUAGGACGCAAGUUCAACGACGACAGUGUACAGUCCGACAUGAAACAUUGGCCGUUCACGGUUAUCAAUGAUGGAGGAAAGCCCAAGCUCGAAGUGGAGUUCAAGAACGAGAAAAAGAGAUUUACCCCAGAAGAAAUCAGCUCAAUGGUGCUGACCAAAAUGAAGGAGACAGCAGAAGCCUACUUGGGACAAACUGUCCGAGACGCAGUCGUCACCGUUCCUGCCUAUUUCAACAACGCCCAGAGAGAGGCUACUAAAGACGCCGGAGUGAUAGCCGGUCUCAAUGUUCUCAGGAUAGUAAACGAACCCACAGCUGCUGCUCUGGCUUAUGGUCUAGAUAAGAACAUUUCCGGUGAGAAAAACGUUCUCAUCUUUGACCUCGGAGGUGGUACAUUUGACGUGUCCAUCCUUACCAUUGAUGAGGGUUCCAUAUUUGAGGUUCGCUCCACUGCAGGGGAUACUCACCUGGGAGGUGAAGAUUUCGACAACAGAAUGGUCAAUCACUUUGUGCAGGAAUUCAAGCGCAAGUACAACAAAGACAUUUCCAAAAAUAACCGUUCACUGAGACGACUCAGGACGGCUUGCGAGCGUGCCAAGAGAACACUGUCCAGCAGUUCUGAGGCCAACAUUGAGAUCGACUCGCUGUUUGAGGGAAUGGACUUCUACAGCAAAAUCACACGGGCUAGAUUUGAAGAAAUGUGUGCAGAUUUGUUCCGUGGAACCUUAGAACCUGUAGAGAAAGCCCUGAGGGACGCCAAAAUGGACAAAUCUAAAAUUCACGAGGUGGUUUUGGUUGGAGGGUCGACAAGAAUUCCAAAGAUCCAGAAAAUGCUGCAAGACUUCAUGGGCGGAAAAGAACUGAACAAGUCGAUCAACCCAGACGAAGCUGUGGCCUAUGGUGCCGCUGUCCAAGCGGCUAUUUUGAAGGGAGAUAAGAGUGAUGCCAUCAAGGACGUUCUUCUGGUCGAUGUCACUCCACUGUCUCUAGGCAUUGAAACUGCUGGAGGGGUCAUGACAAAGAUCGUCGAACGAAAUGCCAAGAUUCCUACUAAAGCAUCACAGACCUUCACCACAUACUCCGAUAACCAGCCCGGUGUAUCCAUUCAGGUGUACUUUUGAACUGAAUGGAAUUCCUCCAGCCCCUCGAGGUGUCCCACAGAUUGACGUGGAGUUUGACAUUGACGCCAACGGUAUCCUGAACGUAUCAGCCAAGGACAAGAGCACGGGAAAGUCCAAUAAAAUCACCAUCACCAACGACAAAGGUCGUCUGAGUAAGGCCGACAUUGAGAGAAUGGUGAACGAGGCCGAGAAAUACAAAGAGGAAGACGAUAAACAGCGUCAGAGGAUAGCGGCCCGUAACCAGUUAGAAUCCUAUGUCUUCACCGUCAAACAGGCGGCAGAGGACACAGGAGACAAGCUUCAGUCUGAAGACAAAGAGACAAUAUCCAGGGUGUGCAGUGAAACAGUGUCCUGGCUCGACAACAAUGCCCUGGCAGAGGUUGACGAAUAUGAAUUCAAAUUGAAGGAGGUUCAGAAGGUGUGUUCACCCAUCAUGGCCAAACUACACCAGAACGGGUCCACGGGAAAUCCAGGACCAGCUAGUUCUAGUCAGGGUCCGACUGUAGAGGAGAUUGAUUAAGUGUGAAGAAUAACUUAAUGAUAAUGAAACCUCAUAAUGUAUUAUGAACUUAGACCGGUACUUUCUAUGAAAGAUAUACUAUGUGAAAUGUUGUUGUGUUUUUUGAAUGAAAGUUGUUAUUUAUUCGAGAGAAUUAUAUAUUGUUUUUGAAAUUGUCAUAUUAAUCAACUUAUAUAUACAAUUGUUGUUUGUUAAUAUUAUGAGAAUAAAAAUAUUUGAAAAUU